rnacentral:rRNA from 1 species
UACAGAGGUCCCAAGCGUUGUUCGGAUUCAUUGGGCGUAAAGGGUGCGUAGGCGGCGCGGUAAGUCGGGUGUGAAAGCCCCCGGCUCAACUGGGGAGGGUCACGCGAUACUGAUCGACUCGAAGGCAGGAGAGGGUAGUGGAAUUCCCGGUGUAGUGGUGAAAUGCGUAGAUAUCGGGAGGAACACCAGUGGCGAAGGCGGGUCUCUGGGCCGAUACUGACGCUGAGGAGCGAAAGCGUGGGGAGCGAACAGG